rnacentral:tRNA from 1 species
GGGAAGGUGGCUCAGUGGUAGAGUGCUUGCUUUGCAUGCCUGAGGCCCUGGGUUCAAUUCCU